UUGUCAUGGGGGAGGUGGUGGUGCUCGGGGCUGCUGGCGGCCGAGGUAGAGGCAGUGGCUGUGGAGUUGGUCGUGGGCAGCGGCAGAUUUGAGGCUUCAACAACUUAUAGGGAAGAAGACCAGUGCAACUGAUACUGCAAACCAAGAUCUUGGUUCACAUCCAUAAAUUGAAAUUUUGGUGGACCAGCCAUCCUCAGACACCUCACUUAAAGACAGAUGAGGAAACUGAGGCUUGGUGAAGUUACGAAACUUGUCCAAAGUCACACAGCUUGUAAAGGGCACAGCCAAGAUUCAAAGCCAGACUCUAAGAAUUAAUAAUGAACAAACUACGGCAAAGUUUUAGAAGAAAGAAAGACGUUUAUGUUCCAGAGGCCAGUCGUCCACAUCAGUGGCAGACAGAUGAAGAAGGGGUUCGUACUGGAAAAUGUAGCUUUCCAGUUAAGUACCUUGGCCAUGUAGAAGUUGAUGAAUCAAGAGGAAUGCAUAUCUGUGAAGAUGCUGUGAAAAGACUGAAAGCUGAAAGGAAGUUCUUCAAAGGCUUCUUUGGAAAAACCGGGAAGAAAGCAGUGAAGGCCGUCCUGUGGGUUUCAGCAGAUGGACUCAGAGUUGUGGAUGAAAAAACUAAGGACCUCAUAGUUGACCAGACAAUAGAAAAAGUUUCUUUCUGUGCCCCAGAUAGGAACUUUGAUAGAGCCUUCUCUUACAUAUGUCGUGAUGGCACCACUCGGCGCUGGAUCUGUCACUGCUUCAUGGCUGUUAAGGACACGGGAGAAAGACUGAGCCAUGCAGUCGGCUGUGCUUUUGCAGCCUGUUUAGAGCGUAAACAGAAGCGGGAGAAGGAAUGUGGAGUGACUGCUACUUUUGAUGCUAGUCGGACCACUUUUACAAGAGAAGGAUCAUUUCGUGUCACAACAGCCACCGAGCAAGCAGAAAGAGAGGAGAUUAUGAAACAAAUCCAAGAUGCCAAGAAAGCUGAAACAGAUAAGACAGUUGUUGGUUCAUCAGUGACCCCUGGCAACACUGUCCCAUCCCCGUCCUCUCCCACGUCUCCCACUUCGGAUGCCACUCUAUCUCUGGAGAUGAACAACCCUCAUGCCAUCCCACGCCGGCAUGCUCCGAUUGAACAGCUUGCUCGCCAGGGCUCUUUCCGAGGAUUUCCUGCUCUUAGCCAGAAGAUGUCACCCUUUAAACGCCAGCUCUCCCUACGCAUCAACGAGUUGCCUUCUACUAUGCAGAGGAAGACUGAUUUCCCCAUAAAAAAUGCAGUACCAGAGGUAGAAGGGGAAGCGGAGAGUAUCAGCUCCCUUUGCUCACAGAUCACCAAUGCCUUCAGCACACCCUCCGAGGAUCCCUUCUCAUCAGCCCCAAUGACCAAACCAGUGACAGCAGUGGCACCACAGUCUCCUGCCUUUCAAGCUAAUGGCACUGACUCAGCCUUCCAUGUGCUUGCUGCUAAGCCAGCCCAUACUGCUCUAGCACCCGUAGCAAUGCCUGUGCGUGAAACCAACCCUUGGGCCCAUGCCCCUGAUGCUGCUAACAAGGAAAUUGCAGCCACACAUACGGGGACCGAAUGGGGUCAAUCUUCUGGUGCUGCUUCUCCAGGUCUCUUCCAGGCGGGCCACAGACGCACUCCAUCUGAGGCUGACCGCUGGUUAGAAGAGGUGUCCAAGAGCGUGCGGGCUCAGCAGCCCCCGGCCGCGGCUGCCCCUCUGCAGCCAGUGCUCCAACCUCCUCCACCCACUGCCAUCGCCCAGCCAGCUCCGCCUUUCCAGGGGAAUGCAUUCCUCACCGCUCAGCCCGUGCCAGUGGGUGUGGUCCCACCCCUGCAGCCAGCCUUUAUCCCUGCCCAGCCCUAUCCUGUGGCCAACGGGAUGCCCUAUCCAGCCCCUAACGUGCCUGUGGUGGGCAUCACUCCCUCCCAGAUGGUAGCCAAUGUGUUUGGCACUGCAGGCCACCCUCAGGCUGCCCACCCCCAUCAGUCUCCCAGCUUGGUCAAGCAGCAGACAUUCCCUCAGUAUGAGACGAGCAGUGCUACUGCCAGUCCAUUCUUUAAGCCUCCUGCUCAGCACCUCAAUGGUUCUGCAGCUUUCAAUGGUGUAGAAGAGAGCAGGCUGGCCUCGGGAGACAAGCACACAGAGGUUCCUGCAGGUACCUGCCCCGUGGAUCCUUUUGAAGCCCAGUGGGCUGCAUUAGAAAGUAAGUCCAAGCAGCGUACUAACCCCUCCCCCACCAACCCUUUCUCCAGUGACUUACAGAAGACAUUUGAAAUUGAACUUUAAGUGGUUCCUAUGGCUUAUGUAUUUUGACCAUACUUAGGCAAGGAUGGGGGUGGAGGUCCAAGGAGCAAAGGGGAUGUGUUCCUUAUCAGUAUGCUUUUUACUAAUCCCAAAGGGCAUAUCCAGGCACAGAGUACAAUGAGGGGAGAUUUGGAAAAUCAAUCAGAGAAAACCAUUCCUAGAGAAGAGUUAUCUUACAGUUAGGCUAAAGAAGUCAAGGUAUUGUUGCCCUCUGUCCCCUCCUCCUUCCUCAGCCCCUUACAAAUCUCUGGCAACAGAGAGGCAGAUGUAUCUCAACAGGAACCUGUAUUCAAAGCACAUUUACUGGAACAUAAAACAACGGGAAGCAAAAUGAUCUCCCUUGUCUUUCAGGCCAGUCACCUGCCUCCUCUUGGUACUGGCCUGUCAUAGAGAUCAAGGACAGGGGAGGCCUGUGCUUAGGCAGGAAGAGAGGCAGGCUUUGCUACCAGAAUUCCCAGGAGGGCACAGCAGCAGCCGCCCAGCAGAGCUAUAUUUUAGGGGUAAAUUUGAGCUUCCAUUUUGAAUAACAGAAUAAAUAUUAUAAAUAUAUAUAAAAAAGCCAAAAUCUUUAUUUUUAUGCAUUUAGAAUAUUUUAAAUAGUUCUCAAUAUUAAAAAAUUGUAUGAGGUGUAAGUAAUCUUGCCAAAGGUAAAAGGGUUAGGUGUAAGAAAUUGUACAUAAGAUUGAUUUAUCAUUGAUGCCUAUUGCGGUAAAAAGGGCAGGCUAGACGUUGCAGACAGGAUCCCUAGCUUAUUUGGUGUCGUCCAUUGUAAGUAGCGCAUUGCAACACAAUCAUGCUUAUGACCAGUACAGUCACUAGGGUGUAGUUUAAAUAAAGAAAAUGAAAGAGCAGUAUUGUCCUGGUUUUAAACCAAUGAAAUUCUAAUAUUUUAAUGGAAUCAAGCUAAAUAUGCUCUAUAGAAAAUAUGUAUUUCCUUUUAUGUAUUGCUACAUUUUCCUUACGUUAAUCCUUUAACACUAAGGUGACAAUGACAUAAUCAUAGACGGGAAUGCAGGUUACUGUGUUGGUUUGUCAUGUGGGUCUUGGUGAGUUUUGUUUUGUUCUUUGUUCCCACGCAUUUAGUGGGAAUGAAAAUCCGGGUUUUACUAGCUGUGUGUGUCCCUGUCUGCCCUUCCUGUGUGCAGAGUGCCCCAUUGCCAGUUGCUGCCACUUGACCUCUGGUAACGACAUGAGAUCCCAUCUCAUUUUUACUUUUGAACGUUGGCCUUACAAUCAAAUGCUUCGGUUGAUCCUGAGUACACCUCUAACAUCAGACUCUUGCUACUUAAAGUGUGGUCUGGAACAGCAGCCUGGACUUGACUGACCAGGAGCUGAUUAGAGAUGCCAAAUCUUGCCAAAUCUGAGCCCCACCCCAGACCUAGUCAGAGCCUGCAUUUGAACAAGAUGCUUAUGCUGAGAAGCCUGGACUGAAGCACUGAUUAGAUCCAUAUUAGAAUUACCUGAGGAGCUUUUAAAAUCAUCAUGCCUAGCCCACGCUUGAGCGCAAGUAAAUCAAAAUCUCUGGGGAGAUUUCUCAGCUUUUAAAAAGUUCCCAGCAUGGAAGAGGAUUGAGAACCACUAUUCUAGAGUGAAUCCCACCUCUAACCUUCUUAGCUCACUCUUUUGUGACUAGUUCUAAGAAGAGUUCGCUAACCUCAACCUUACUUUCUGAGGUGGGUUGCCAACUGGCCAAAUACUGAAUUAAUUUAAAAUGUGGGGAGUCUUACUUUCUAAUUUCUAUAGCAAAACUCGCCAUACUAAAUGAAAGGGGAUGUUCGUUGAUUUUUUUUUUAAUGAAAGAAAAAAACUCAUUGGUGAGAAGCCGACCAAGCACUAUCACUCACCCAUGAUGCAGUCGCUCUCUUUUCCAGCCAGUGUGUUGGUAUUAAGUCACCUUUCAGAGCUUUAGCCCCUAUAAUGCCUGUCUUUCCUGUGUCCAAGAAUAACCUUUGUUGCUAGGCCCUGUCAGUCCUCUGGAGGCUGCGUAAAGUUUGAAAUGGAAAGGUGCUCAGAAGCUUGUGAAAUCGCUAUUACAUUGCCCUCCUCCCCACUGGCACCCCAGUCCUACUGAUGCUGUAUUUAGUAAGUCUGGUUUUUAUCUGGCAACAAACAUUUUGCUUCACAGAUUCCUACUUGAGGAGGAGAGGCUCCUCCAUAGCCACUGUACAGAGCAGACCCAUCAGCUCGAUCCAGGGGUGAUGACCCUGCGGCCAGGCUGCGUGUAUCAGCCUCAGGAGAAGGGCUUCGGGCUUCCUGGUGAGAGUAAGGAGCUUUUCCGGUUCUUUUGUGCUCAGAUAAUAAUGCAACUGCUGCUCUUUUAUCCCCAACCCCUAUACUGAGCCUUAUCUUCCACUUUGCUGCAUGCUUUCACAAACAUGCUGUUAUUAACCGUGAGCACAGGUGGGCAAUGUUGCUGAACUGCCUACAAGGGUGAGAGACACCAUGGCAAUGGGCCCUGGUUUGAUCCCAGAUGACAAGAUCUAGUUCUAGCAAGGAUUGUUUCCCUGGCACAGCAGAAAUGCCUGUUCCCUGGAUGAGAUAGAUAUUAACUUUGAACCCACUGCCUCCCCACCCUUACAGCUUGCUUUCAAACAGUGAACUGAUCCUAUGUAACAAAAUCUAUAGAGGGAAUUGUAAAGGUUGUCCUUACUCUUGACAACUCAACAGUCCCCUGUGGCACCAACUCCGAGAUACAGAGGGGCUGCUACUGGUUCUGCUGAGGUCAAACCCUUGGGAAUGGGGAGAGCUGAAAGGGCCAGGGCCUCCAGAAGAUGACUGCCUUCAUCAGCCAGAGAAGAGAGGGCGAGAGUCCUCCGCCCCAGCCCUGAGCUGUUUGGGGGCUGAGGCCAGCUUUCAUCCCUGCUGCCAGAUGGGCUGAGCAGGAGGCUGGACGCGCGAACAGCUGGCGCAGCAGAAGCUGGAGUAAUACUCAUUGCCACAGAGCUGGGCCUGCAGGAUCAAAUCACAGUUGGCCAGCUCAGGCUGGUCAGUGCAUUCCCUGCGGGGGUCCCUUGGCUGAGUGGCCAGUGCUGCAGAACAACAGGAGAGAGAAAGUGGUCAGGAAGCUGUGUGCAUGCUGAGAAGCCUCACCUGCCAUUUCUUCUCCUUAAAAGGAAAGCCAUUCUGUAACCUUGUAACACCUGUGUGUGCGGCUUCACAGGCUGAGGUGACACUUUCUAUUCUUUCAUUGGCCUCCCUUCAGCACAUAGUGGGCCUUCCGUUGUUCCUGGGUGCAGAUUCCCAAAUACAGGAAGUUAAAUACCGCCCUUGCUAUUGACCUGAAAGGCUGAGUGAUAGGUGCCCGGUCCCUGGCUUGGAAAGAGGAGGGUCAGCCCUAAGGACAGCUUUGAGUUGGUAAGAGCGCCUGGCUCUUGCACUGCUGGUUUCCGCCAACUCCGAAGUGUUGUGCCUUUAACAGCCUUAGCUUAGCUUAAUCACUCAGUUCCCCACCUUUUCACUCCCCCUGCCCCACCCCGGGAAGCAAGUUAUAUGCAACAAGGUGAGAGUAAAAAGUCUAGAGAACUGAGACUCCAGCACCGCACUGAGCACAGCCCAUUGCCUCCACCUCUGACUUCACCAGGAGCUUCUGCAGCUUACAGCUCACUCUGAGGGUGUCCCCUACUGCUUCAUGCCAGGCCUGACGUCGUCUUAGCUCAGUAACUUUUCUUUCUGGAAGGGAUUCUGACAACUCAGCUUGGACUAGGCAUUAUUUCCUUCAUCCUGGAGCAGCCCACUGUACAGAUGAGGGAGGUGAGACUCAGGAAGUGCCCCACGUCACACUUCAGUAACUGGCAGAGCAAGUCAGGGUGACAGGCCUGCGCUUGCCCACACGGAGCCAGCCCUUCUUACCUGGCCGGAUCAUCUUCACCUCCGUGCUGCGGCUGAUGGCCUGGCUCCCUCGGUAGGCACUGCAUGUGUAGGAGCCCUCGUCCCUGGCCCGCAGGUUGUGGAUCAGCAGCGUGCCAUCCGGGGACUGGUGAACACGGUGGCCAUCGGCCUGGACUGGCAGCCCAUUCCUGGAGGGGAAGAGAUGCAGCCACUGCCGACCCAAGACCAGAGACAGGGAGGAGGUAACAGACCACUCCAGGGCCAACUACUUCCUCCCUCUGGGCAAACAGGUGACCCUCACUCGUCUCAAGGAAGACACGGACAGGGUAACAAAAAGAACAUAACGCACCUCCAAUGAGGUGAACUCAUACUGAUCUGAGUUACUUCAAACGUACCUCUCACCCCCAAAGGGCCGGCCGCACUCUUACUUUUCAGUAACAAAGAUCUUUUAAGCAACUAGGGGGUGCCAGUCCUUUUCCUGGGUGCAGGACAUAAGCAUUCCCUGCCUUCAGGGUACUGGGGUGCAAGUGUUCAGGGGAGUUACUCGUAAGGAGGAGGCGGCAGCAGGAGUUGGAAGGAAGGCCAUGGCCUAAGCAAGGCACUGGGGUGGGGAGCUGAGGGCCCUUUAUGGCCCUGGUCUGGAGUUUGAACUGGAUCCUGAGGGUGAUGGGGGGCAUCAAGUGAGACUAACACUUAAGAUAGCUGCCCAGGCAGGGUGCUCGGGGAGAAUCCUGAAGGCAGAGACCAGGUAAGUGGCAGCUGCACAUAGGUAGCUGACACAGGCAGUAAAGAAAGGGACUUGGGGCAGUGCAGUAGUUAAGGAUGAUGGAGCUUCUGGCUUGGGUUAGCGAGUAAUGGGGGUGCCCCUUCCACAUGGGCAGAGCCAGGCCAAGGAUGAGGGGUGUGUGAGGUUCUUUCCCACCACCUUGCACUUCUGGCGCCUGAGAGACACCAACAAGUAUCAGAUGUAGGCCUGCCCAGGUGAACUUAGGGAGACAAAGCAAGGACAGACAUUAAGCAAGAGCAGCAUCUCAGGGGUAGAUGAGAAGAUGACGAGCCAGCCGGGAGGACAGAAGUAGCAGCUGCAGAAGCAGGAAGACCACCACAACAGUCGUUUUGGGAGGAGAGCAUGGUCAGCAGAGGAAUGCUGCAGGUAGUGUGGGCAUGGAAAUGUGUCCAGAGGAUUUAGGAACAGGGAGGUAAAUAGUUGGUGGCCUUGGAAGGGAGAGGAUGUGAGGACCUACUGGGGCUGAGCCAGCAGCGAACAGGGGGAGACACCCAGUAUAGACUGUGCAGUUAGAGGGAGACUGGCAUGGGCCUGCAGGGGAGCACAGGGCCAGAAGAAGGUAUGUUUUAACGAGGGAAGCCCUGAGCAUGUUUGCUGCUGGGACGAUCCAGACGCAAAGUAGAAGACCACCUGGUAGAAUAUCAGGGCUGACAGCCCGUUGAAAAGCCUCAGAGGCUCCCUGCAGCCUUCCCCUGGCACCAGAGCUGCACAGGCAGCAAGCUCUACUACCCUAUCUUCCAUCCCAUCCUGGCAGCAUCUCACAAAUACACACUUUGGGGCUUGACCAAGGACAUCCUUCCAGGCCCAGCCAAAGUCACCUCCUUGACCACCCUUUUCCUUGAGUCUCCCAGAUGAGAGGCAGCCCCACUCCACUGUGAGGACAGCACUUUGGGCAAACUGUGGCUGGCACUCAUGGGACACUACAUCAUCUCUUGCCUGGGAGUAUCUUAUGGGGUCAGAUUACCCGAGGGUCCCCAGAGCCUAGUCCUGAUACAUGGCAAGAAGGAAGGGGGUAAAGAAACGGUUGCUGAAGGAACAAGUAAAAGACCACUCAACCUCUGGGGAGAUUUUGCCACCCACGGGACAACUGGCAAUGCUGAGCGUGGUAGUGGCAUCAAAUGAGCGAGUGUGGCUGAAUAUUCUAUAGUACAUAGGAGAGCCAUCAAGAACUGAAGAUUACUGGGUUCAAAAUGUCAAUAAUGCUGACGUAAAUCCCUGGUGUAGCCCAGCCAACAGAACAGAGCAGGCCUUGAAAGGGGUGUGGCAGUAGUGACAGAAGCAUCCCCAGAAAGGUGGACCAUCUCUGGGCUGCACAACCUCCAUGGGAGGGUCUAUAGGCCAGGGCCUCCAGGAAUAGAGCCUUACCUGGACCAUCUGACGUUCACACUUUGUCCUGCCACCGUACACAGCAGCCUGGCCGUGUCACCCUCUGGCACCGUCAUGGUAGAGGGCAGCCCUGUGAUGGUCAGCUCCCCUGGGGCCCAAGGAGAAGGCACUGUCAGCCAUGGUGCCAUUCCCACCCCACCUAUGCCAUCCGACCGCAAAGGCCCCGCUCACCCUUCCAUUCCAGACUGCCAUCUUACCCAGAACUCUGAGCUGGACCCAUCGCUGGUCUCGGUCCUGCCCAUUGAAAGCAACACAGGCAUAGAAGCCACCAUCUUCAGCAGCCACGUGGCUGAUGACCAGAGAGCCAUCAGGCUGCAGCUGGUGUCUGGGGACCAAGCAGAGUCUGUUGUCUCCAUCCCAAGGCGGGCCACGGACAGUGAGGGGAGGAGCUGCUGAGAGGCUGUUCGCUGGGGUCUGCCUAAGGGCCACUCACCCAGGUCCCCAGCGGCUAGCAUGUGCAGCUACUUGAAAGGCCUGGCUUUUAAGCCUGGCAAUAAACACAAACCAUUUCAAGUUUUCUGAUGCAAAAUUCUGGUUUGGGUUUCCAGUUUCAUCUAGUGGGUUUGAAUCCCGGCUCUGCCACUUAGGAGCUGAGCGGUGUGGAGCUGGUGUGUAAAAUGGGGAUAAACAGCCACUACCUCAGCAUGGUGGUUCUGCAGACUGUGAUGGAGAACACCCCCCGCCCCGACUCAUGACCGUUUCUUCCCUCAGCCAUCAACUCUGCUAGCUGGCCUAGUCUGUCCAGAGACCCAAGAUGCCCUGCACCCAGCAGCUCCAUCUCUCCAGAGCCCCUACUGUCCUGCUCAGGACAGACUGGAGGGCCGCCCUCUCCCUACAGCCGGCACAGGAUGGGGCAGGAGGGAGGAAGCAGAACUAACCUGGGAGAAGAGAGCAGCUGCCCUUCUCUCUGCCACUCGAUGGUCGGGGGCGGGAAGCCCUCAGCGCGGCAGGUCAGCCGGACCCGCUGUCCUGGGUG